rnacentral:lncRNA from 1 species
CUGAGGGUGUGUGCUCCCCCCGGCCCUGUGGCUGAGGGUGUGCGCACCCUGCGCCCCCGGCCCUGUGGCUGAGGGUGUGUGCUCACCCCGGCCCUGUGGCUGCGGCUGUGCCCCCGCGUCUCUCUGAGGUGUCGUUUGCUUCCUCGGCCCCAGCGCUUCCCUGAUGCGACUGUCUCGGUCCGUGUCCUUGAAGCGCCGGCCCCUCGGCCGUUUGCUUGUUUCUUUUCUCUCCCAAGGUGGAACGGGGAGGCUGCAGGGGACUGGAGUGGGAGGAAGCAGGUUCCCCAGGUGGCCCUGGCUGAGGACACGGCCUCCAGCACUGUCUUCCCCGGGCCGUCACCAUGGGCAGACUCGGCGUGUUCACACCCUCACGCUUCUGCACGCACUGCGGACCUUUCUCAGAUCUCCUGAGAACCCGGCCGGUUUCUGGAGGAAACGCACAGGGAGGUGUCGGGGACCCCUAAGACCGUGGCUCCCAGGAACCCCUCACUGUCGUGUGGGUCCACACUCAGCUUCUAGCCAUUCAUCAAGGCCUCCCCAGAAGCAUUUCUCCCAGUUCGUGGCUCCAGCGGCGUCUGCGCCAGGUAAGCAGUUCUCAGGCUUGUUUUUCCGUGUUUGGCUUUCUCUCCAGACUUCAGGGCGGCAGUUUCUUUGUAACCUCCCUUCUCUUCUGAGAAAAGUCAUCGAUUUCCAGUUUGUCUGCUUUUUUUUUUCCUGUUGCGAAGACAGCAGUGAUGAGUUCCAAGCUCUUUAUGUGUUGGAGCUGAACCUGAAAUCCUGCUCUUUAUUUAUUUUUAUAUUUUGCCCAGAGUGUAUCACUGUAUCUAUUGCAGGAUCCGUCCAGUUGGAGCUGCGCUGGGUAAAAGCAGUGGGGUUUGACUGACAACUUUUCAAACUGUCAGCUUUUCUCCCUUCAAAACAAGUUCAAGGCCGGCCUCCUCUGGCUCGCCACCAGAGAGUGAGUCAGGCGGGGCCCGAUGGCUUGCAUUGGAACCUGUCACUCACCACCC